rnacentral:rRNA from 1 species
UAGGGAAUUUUCGUCAAUGGGCGCAAGCCUGAACGAGUAAUGCCGCGUGAAGGAAGAAGUAUCUCGGUAUGUAAACUUCUAUCAGCAGGGAAGAUAAUGACGGUACCUGACUAAGAAGCCCCGGCUAACUACGUGCCAGCAGCCGCGGUAAUACGUAGGGGGCAAGCGUUAUCCGGAUUUACUGGGUGUAAAGGGAGCGUAGACGGAACAGCAAGUCUGAUGUGAAAGGCAUGGGCUCAACCUGUGGACUGCAUUGGAAACUGUUGGUCUUGAGUACCGGAGGGGUAAGCGGAAUUCCUAGUGUAGCGGUGAAAUGCGUAGAUAUUAGGAGGAACACCAGUGGCGAAGGCGGCUUACUGGACGGUAACUGACGUUGAGGCUCGAAAGCGUGGGGAGCAAACAGGAUUAGAUACC